GAUGAACGCUGGCGGCAUGCCUAACACAUGCAAGUCGAUCGGUAAGGCUCUUCGGAGUACACGAGAGGCGGACGGCUGAGUAACGCGUAGGAACACACCCUGCAGUGAGGGAUAAGACACCGAAAGGUGUUCUAAUACCGCAUACGGUCUUCGGAUUAAAGCAUUUAUGCGCUGAAGGAGUGGCCUGCGUCAUAUUAGAUAGUUGGUGAGGUAAUGGCUCACCAAGUCGAUGAUGUGUAGCUGGUCUGAGAGGAUGAUCAGCCAGACUAGAACUGAGACACGGUCCAGACUCCUACGGGAGGCAGCAGUGAGGAAUAUUUCACAAUGAGCGAAAGCUUGAUGGAGCAAUGCCGCGUGCAGGAUGAAGGCCCUCGGGUUGUAAACUGCUUUUAUAAGAGAAGAUUAUGACGGUAACUUAUGAAUAAGGGACGGCUAACUACGUG
rnacentral:rRNA from 1 species